GUGAAUCAUCGAAUCUUUGAACGCAAAUUGCACUCCCUGGUUUUCCGGGGAGGAAUGCCUGUUUGAGGGUCUGCCUAACAAAAAUCGAAGUUGUUGCUGUUUUAUGGUGCCUUUGGUCGGAGAUGGGUUAUCUUAGAUCUCGGUUUAAGCGACUUAAAAAUUUUUUUUUCGACUCUAAGA
rnacentral:misc_RNA from 1 species